rnacentral:lncRNA from 1 species
CAGGGAGGUCAGAGGGCCAGGGACAAAGGCAGUCCCCCACUCCCCCGUUCCCGCCGUGGGGACUGCAUGCUGUCAGCACUGCUAAUCCAUGUGCUCACCUUUCAUCUCAGCAGAUCUGUUCGGGGGAAAGAGACCCAUUUCACAGCUGACAAGAUUGAAGGGCGAGAAGGAGGGGCACAGGCGGCGCCUGAAAGGUCACUUUCCUCACAGGAAGCAAAGGCGCUGCCCUGACAGAGCCUCGGCAGGCAAUCCGGCUGCUCACCGCGCAGAGCCCGAAUGGGAGAGUGUGGGGCCAGGGACUUCUGCUGUGGCUGACCACACCAUCACGCAAGACCCCCACAAACCAGGACACACACGGCAGGAC